GAUGAAGAACGUAGCGAAAUGCGAUAAGUAAUGUGAAUUGCAGAAUUCAGUGAAUCAUCGAAUCUUUGAACGCACAUUGCGCCCUCUGGUAUUCCGGGGGGCAUGCCUGUUCGAGCGUCAUUACAACCCUCAAGCUUUGCUUGGUAUUGGACAUUGCCAGUUUCUGGCAGGUCUUAAAAUCAGUGGCGGUGCCAUUUGGCUUCAAGCGUAGUAAUUCUUCUCGCUUUGGAGAUCCAAGUGGUUACUUGCCAAUAACCCCCAAUUUUUUCAGGUUGACCUCGUAUCAGGUAGGGAUACCCGCUGAACUUAAGCAUAUCAAUAAGCGGAGGA
rnacentral:misc_RNA from 1 species